CCUUAUAUAAACAAAAACUGCAUAAUCAAAAAAGUCAAGAAGUUAACGCUAGUAUGUAACGAUCAGCAUAAACAUAAACAGAUGCACCUUAGAAUUGUACUCCUUACAUGAUGACCAUGGGUGAACCAUGAAGUCAGUAUGUAAAAAACUUCUCCCUUACCAACGUAGUUAAUCAAUGUCUUGUAUAUAGGACAUCACUUUGUAUACAUUCAGAAAUGUUUCACUGCACCUUAUUUCGUUCCAAUUUGUUUCCUUGCAACUAUACAUUAACUAUUUGGCAGCCUACUUCACUCUUUCGGAAGUGAAGUGUUGUGUUAUAUGAAGAAGGAUGCCUCAACGCAAGCGAACAAAUAUGUCGGGGAAAAUUUCAAAUAAAAGGCAAAAAUGGUUCGAUUGCCCAGUGUGCGAUGGACAAAACACAUGUUACGUCGAAAUGGUAAGGAAAGAAUCAUAUGCUGUUGCCAAAUGUGACAUGUGUCACGAAUCUUACAACACUCGGAUUACUAAUAUAUCCGAUCCAAUAGAUGUGUAUUGUGAAUUUGUCGAUCAGGUGGACGAAGAAAAGAAUUCAUAAAAGUGAAAGAUAAUGGAGAUGAACUAAAUGUAAUAAGACAAAAAAAAGAUACUAUAAUAAUAAUAUUCGUUAUACUCGUAUAUAUGUUGAUUGCUGAAAAAUUGCUGAAAAUAUAGAACAAAUAUAUUCGA